AAAUCGAAAGAAAAAAAACCCUAAAAAUCCUCUUCUUCUUCUUCUUCUUCUUCUUCUCCUUCUCCUAUAUCCUCCCCUGCAAAAAAAUUAUUUCUCCAUCGCGAUGGUUCAUUCAUCGCGUCUCUUUUCUUCUCCGUCCUUUCUUCUUCUCAUUCUCUCUGUUUUUUCAUAUUUACUAUUGGUUUUAUUUUGCAGGUGCGGUUUUUGAAGAAGAGAUAAAUAACCAAACCUUAACUUCUCUGUCCUUUCUUCUUCUCGAUUCUUAGUUUUAUUUUUCCUUUUACUAAAAAGAGACGAUUUUUUAUUUCCCAUGAAUUUCACUGAAAAGAAGUGUAGAAAUUGGAAACGCGACCAGGAAAACACGAGCUUGAUGAGUACACAAAUGAGAUUAAUGUUGAUUCAAGGUUUUGUGUAUUUAGAAAGAAGAAAUCCAGGGUAUUAUGAAACAAGGUUUGUGAUUAUUGUAUUAUGGUUUUAAUUAAAUCUUUGUUUCUGUUGAUUAUUAUGAAUCCGUUUGCAUUAUGAGUGAUUUUCAGGUCCUAAAAAUUUGGGACAAAAUUGGCUUACCAUUAGAAGUUGGGUUUAUGUUAACCUCUUACAGUAUUUCUUUAAUAUAUAUAUAUUCUGAUUUGGUCUCCAUCAGGUACAUAUUUGUUAUACAAUGUAAGGUAAUUUAGAAAACAAGGAUUUUAUUGUGUUGCAUACCGACACUCUAACAUAAGACAGAUUGGUAAAAUGUAUUCUGCUGACUAUUCACUUGAUUAUUCCAUUUAAGUUAUUCUGUUAGACAUUUGAAGGGACUGUUUUCCUUUCGAUGUUUAUUAAGUUGAAAUGCAAGGAACUAUUAAUUCACAAAUUUGAAUUUUCAGGUAUUAACAAUUAUUUUCUGAGUGUGGUUGGAAAACUCAAGCUUGAGGUUGUUUAUGUUUCUGUUUUGUACUUUCUGUGUCUUUAUGGAGACACUCAGUCAAUCAAGAACGCUUAGAAACAACAUUCAAAGCUCUUCCUGUGCCACAGGGGCUCUUUUCAUAUUCAAUGGGUGCAUAUCCAGCUGUGCAAAACGUGUGGCCUGCAGGUUAUGCAUCUCAACCACAUGCUUGGAACCAGGCUUCCACGUGCACAGAGACAACAAUGGAACACUGGAUACACUCAACAGGCGGGAAUUCAUAGUAAAUGUUAACUUCUUUUUUUUUUUUUUUUUUUUUUGCAAUUCACAAUUCUCACUGCCCAUGCUCAUCCAUUUGAUUCCUGGGACACUGUUAGCUCAGGAUAAAGGUUUAGUGGUUUAAUUUUUGCGUAACUGAGGUUAUGUAUGUUCUUAGUGCAUUCUUAGAGAAGAAGGAGAUGAGCAAGGGAACAUGAAGCGUUAGACAAAAUGCAUAAGCUGCUUGGUGGUAAAAGAUAACGAAAGGGAGAAAGAAAACCAUAAAAUCAUACAAAGAUUGACCGAAAAAUUAUGAAUCGGGUAAAUUCUAUUUAGGUUUAAUUCUUCCAGUUCAUGUAUGUGGUUUGUUCAACCAUUUCAUAUAUGUGGCCACUUAGCUUAUACAUUUUCUACAGUAAUAGAGACGAGUAAGUGAUCUUUGUUUGAGAGUAUGUUACUUUAGUUAAUACUUUGAAGUCUUUGACAGAAUAUAGUAUAUCUUCAUUGGAUUCCUUACAUUGAUCUCACUACCGGGAUGAGGUUUACGCAUACAUAUCAACGUUAGAAAGCAAAGUAAAGUAAAACAAAUAUCAUGGUCUUUAUUCUCCACUGCCGAUUAUUAAGGACUGAUUUUUUCUUACGCACGGAUGUGUAGUAUUUACUUUUUGGUUGAAAUUGUUGGUUGUUGUCCGUGUUGAUAGGGAUAUUAGUAUUACUGCAUAUGGACAGUACUAGGUUCUCAGUUCUACACGGUGCCUGAUGCUGCCAUCAUUCGUAUGACCAGUCCAAACUGAAUUGUGUUAGUAUUCUUCAAUCUUUUUCACUUUACCAUUGAAGUAGAAGGUAAAAUUCUUCAAUUUUUUUUAAAUAUAUUUCCAUUAAAAGAGUUGACUGUGCAUCAAGCUAUUAGCUAUCAUUACCCUGAACUAACAAAAAAAAGGUUCAAAACAAGUUGAUUGUGUAUUAGAUCACGAAAUUUCCAGUUUCUUGAACAUCUAGCCAGAAUACAUCUUUUGUUUAAGGGCAGCAAAGUAAAGUAAAGCAAAUAUCAUGGUCUUUUUUUUCUCCAUUGCCGAUUAUUAGUAGUAAGGACUUAUUUUUUCUUAUGCGUGAAUGUGUAUAGUAUUUAAUUUUUAGUUGAAAUUGGUGGUUGUUGUCUGUGUUGAUAGGGAUGUUAGUAUUACUACAUAUGGACAGGGUACAAGGUUCUCGGUUCUAGACAGUGCCUGAUGCUGCCAUCAUUUGUAUGACCAGUCUAAACUGAAUUGUGUUAGUAUUUUUCAAUUUUUUUUUGUUUUACUAUUGAAGCAGAAGGUAAAAUUCUUCGAUCUUUUUCUUUUUAUAUACUUUCCAUUAAAAGAGUUGAUUGUGCAUCAAGCUAUUAGCUAUCAUUACCCUGAACUAACAAAAAAAGGUUCAAAACAAGUUGAUUAUGUAUUGGAUCACGAAAUUUCCAGUUUCUUGAACAUUUAGCCAGAAUGCAGCUUUUGUUUAAGGACGGCAACGGGGUUGUCUAUUUAAGUUUUUUGUUUUUACAGUACUUAGCUCUGCAUACCUAGCAAAAUUCACAAGGAGUUGGCAUGCUUUUGGGGCUGUAAGUAACGUGCUCUCGACUAAUGUGUUCUCAAGUAAGAAUUAAGCAUUCUUAUGUCCAGAAAUUUUAAAAGUAAGCAUAGCAUAAAGUUUGUGCUAAAAGCGCAAAUGUUUCCCAGUAGUCCAAUUGUACGAGUAUUGACACCAGUUUGGUGGAUUUUUUUUUUUUUUUUUUUAUGAUGCAUUCACUUUUGCAGUAUGAAUUUGGCAUUUUUGAUACUGCUGAUUGUAUGUGUUGAUUUUGAGGAUAUUGUAGUUUUGGAUAGUAAGGCAGAUAUAUCGUUACUUAUGUGUGUUUAUUUGCAGAUAUUUUUUAUUGCCGAGGCCUUAGAACAGGAAAGCACCUGUUAAUAUAAGAUUUUACCUGGAUUCCUAUGAAGUUGACGAGCUUUGUUGCGCUGCUGAACAUGCUUUUAUGCAGGAGCUUACAGUUUUGCAGUUGAAGACCCCUGUUAAAGUAUUUGGUCAUCUUCUUUAACUGUUAAAUGGGUUUUAUUGUGCAGAGCUACCAGCUCAUGAAUUAUGAUGAGCACUCAAAUUUUAAUGCAAAUAUGUGCAACAAAGACUGUUAUACUGAGGAUCAUGGUGUUAUCUCCUGUAAGACAACCAUUCUAAAAGAUUCGAGCGCAAGGAAUUUUCAUAUGCAUCCGACUUGUUUCAUUGGUUACAUCCACAUAAGCUUAGGGAAGCUUUUCCGGCACAAGCUAAACGUUUUUCUUCUUUACGCAACUUUGACCAUUUCAUUGUUAAUGUGCAACCAGGUGUUAGAUAUCUAUAUUAGAUGGAAUUUUAUCUAUAGAAACAUUUCUUAUACAAUUAUUAUAAUCAAGGGUUAUUAUUGUAACGCA